rnacentral:rRNA from 1 species
UUGCACAAUGGAGGAAACUCUGAUGCAGCGACGCCGCGUGAGUGAAGAAGGUCUUCGGAUCGUAAAACUCUGUCCUUGGUGACGAAAAAAAUGACGGUAGCCAAGGAGGAAGCCCCGGCUAACUACGUGCCAGCAGCCGCGGUAAUACGUAGGGGGCGAGCGUUGUCCGGAUUUACUGGGCGUAAAGGGUGAGUAGGCGGUAAUAUGUGUCAGAUGUAAAAGGCUAUGGCUUAACCAUAGUUGGCAUUUGAAACUGUAUUACUUGAGUGCAUGAGAGGUAAGGAGAAUUCCUAGUGUAGCGGUGAAAUGCGUAGAUAUUAGGAGGAACACCAGUAGCGAAGGCGACGUACUGGACUGUAACUGACGAUGAGUCACGAAAG